CUGCUCACUUUGGCAGCACAUAUACUAAAAUUGGAAUGCUACAGAGCUUAGCAUGGCCUCUGCAUGAGAAUGACAUGCAAAUUCGUGAAGCAUUCCAUAUUUUU
ensembl:snRNA U6 U6 spliceosomal RNA